AGCCGCACACGGACACCGCAUUCUGCGGGGCCCGCACCCCGCCCCUCUGCACCCUCACCGCCCAGUGCCUCCUGCGGGAUGCCGUGGAGGCUCCUGGAACUCGGGAAGGGAAGAAUGAUCCGGCCCCAAAUAAGAAGCCCUUGGCUGGUCAGCAACAACCCCUUUGUUCUGAGAAGAGAGGAGGAAAGAAUAAAAGAAGAGGGGUGAAUCUCUGGUUUGGUAGAGGAAACUUGAAGACGUUUUCACUGGAAAGGAAGACAGGAGGAGAAGGAAGAUGUCUGUAAGGACGACCAAACCGGGUGACAGCGGAUUUCCUCAUACUGAAGUAAUGAGUCCUAGUUAUAAUAAAUUCCUAAUAAAAAAUCCAGUUUAUCCCUGCAAUAAACUUGUCAUAUUUUUUAAAA